GUGGUGUGUAUAGAGGUGUGGUGUGUAUAGUGUAUAUAGAGGUGGUGUGUGAAUAGAGGUGUGGUGUAUAUAGAGGUGUGGUGUGUAUAGAGGUGGUGUAUAUAGAGGUCGUGUGUAUAUAGAGGUGUGGUGUGUAUAGUGUGAAUAGAGGUGGUGUAUAUAGAGGUGGUGUGUAUAUAGAGGUGUGGUGUGUAUAGUGUGUAUAGAGGUGGUGUGUAUAUAGAGGUGUGGUGUAUAUAGUGUGUAUAGAGGUGGUGUAUAUAGAGGUGGUGUGUAUAUAGAGGUGUGGUGUGUAUAGUGUGUAUAGAGGUGGUGUGUAUAUAGAGGUGUGGUGUAUAUAGAGGUGGUGUAUAUAGAGGUGGUGGUGUAUAUAGAGGUGUGGUGUAUAUAGAGGUGGUGUAUAUAGAGGUGGUGUAUAUAGAGGUGGUGUAUAUAGAGGUGGUGUAUAUAGAGGUGGUG
rnacentral:lncRNA from 1 species